CUGGGCUGCGGAGCGCGGGCCUCGGCGGCGCAGGGCUUGACGCGCCGGAAAGUCCCCUCGCCGCUGGCCACCAGCCUUCCAGCCCUUACGGCCCACGCUGUAAUCCUGGUGACCGAGAAGAGAGCAGAGCUGCUGCCAGAAGGAAGGGGACAAGACCCAGCAGGACACCUUCUUUCCACGCUUUCUAGCCUGUGGGAGCGGCAGGGGCAACAGAGAGGGGACCUGGAGCCAGGAUUAAUGACUCAUUUAUGAAGCAUCUUAUUCUGCGACCGAGGCUCAGUGGUCAGUGGCGACGUAAAUGGCUCGACUCCCCGCUGGCAUUCGCUUCAUCAUCUCAUUCUCCAGGGAUCAGUGGUACAGAGCCUUCAUUUUUAUUUUGACAUUUCUGCUGUAUGCAAGUUUUCACUUAUCUCGAAAGCCUAUCAGCAUAGUUAAGGUAAGAAUCAUGGAAAGCACUGCCUGUCGUCUCUGUGAGGAGUUCGUCACUUGAAGAGCUUGUGGGGCAGAGGAUGGGGAUGGUAGCAGGUACAUGGGGAAACAGAUUAUGUAGAAACAAGUUAUUCUGCUGCUUUGGCUUUUCGGUUUCCCUUUUCUAAAAUUAAAGUCUUUUAAAUGUU
rnacentral:sRNA from 1 species